GAGUCAUGGGCAGGGUGGCCCUGCCCCGGUAUCAGUCCCAUUUUGCCAGUACAGGAUAGAUCAGGUACCCUGAUCCCCCUGCCUCGGUUCCUGCCUCGGUUCCUGCCUCGGUUCCUGCCUCGGACGGUCGGACCAGAUGAUCAACAACGAGGUAAAAAAUAAAAAGGAGCAGAAUAACAGAAAAAACCUCACCCCUAGAUAUCACUUUCAUUUAUUUUAAACAAACGAUCCAGAUUAAUAUAUCACAAAAUAUUUCAUUUAUGAUAUCUCAACUCACUUUAUUUACAUUUAACACACCAACACGCAACAUUCAAUAAAAAAGAUAGAACAAACAAUUCAAGCAAAAAAAAAAAAGUUUAAUCAAUUGAUGGAUAUUAACUCCGAUGAUGAUGACUCCGGCGCCUCCUCGAUCGGCUCCAAGUCAGGUUUCCACAAUGAUCCCUGUCGAAGAAGCCCCAUCGGAGUCGGAUUUUCAUCCCUGAACCUACACUGAUUCAUUCCAAUACCAUUGCUAAUACCACUAGCAGUCCCUACGACACGCGUUUCGAUCUCGGUUUUACUGUCGUAGGCGACGGCGGAGAGCUUUCUGGCAAGAACCACCUGAUCCAGCAGCGUGACGUCGUCGUCGAACACGGAUUUGGGGAGAAGGAAGUAAAAUCUGUUACUUUGAAGAUGUUCUUGGAGAUGAAGCGGUUUGAAACCCACAGAGUAUUGCGGGGCUAAUGAGCAUAAGACCAUCUUCGGAGGUGUGCCGGUCAAAUCACUUACCUUCACCGGUAGCGAUUCAGGAGUGAUUCUGUUAUCUGCACAGACGAAUUCCUCGACGUAUCCCGUCACAUCGACGACUCGUGCUCCGUUAAUUGCCGGAGGUUCUUCCGACGACCGUGAAUAGCCACAACCCAUGAUUGAAAGGAUAAAUAGCGGUGGAUUUCGAUUUAUACGGCUGAAAAUCCUUAAAAAAAAAAUUAAAAGCAGAAAAUCCUAAAAUUCAGUAAAAUCUAAUGUAGCUUAUUUAACAGGUUAAGGUUUGACUAAUUACUAAGUGAAUCUAGAAUAACAUGAUUAUGAUUAUUAAUUAAGUAGAUUGAAAUUUGAAAACGUUUAAUCAGAUUACGUUGUGGUCGGCUCAUCUGGUCCCUACACGUCAGAGUAUAUUAAUUUAUAGAUGUUUUUAUAAGUACAGUUAAUUAAUAGAUGUUAUUUUCUAGAAUAAUAGGUACAAUUAUGAUGUCAAAUAAAUCUCGAUUCGAUGGGCUUGGCUCGUUAAACUCGCGAACCCAACGAGCCGAACUCGAGUUUGAAGCUCAAGCUCGUUAAGCUUAACGAACCGAGCUCGAGUUUGGACAUUCCAAGCUCGAUAAGAGGAAUAUAAUAAUAAUAAAAUAAUAUAAUAUAUUUGGAGAAAACGAAGAUAUAACUUAGAUGGUAAAGUACUUGUUUGGUAUGAGAGAGGUUGCGAGUUUGAUAUUUUACUUUUCUAAAAUAUUUAUUUUAACCUGCAAUUUUAGGUUAUUAGAACUCGAGCCCGAGUCUUGGCAAAUCAUUAACGAGUCGAGUCUGACUCCGGAUAAAUCUUUAACUUAAUGUUAAAACUCGACUCGUUUGACAUCCUAGCUACCAUUUAUAUCAAAUUCUUUUAAUAAUAUAAGACGAUCUUCACUUAAUGUCCACGACGAACGGUUUAGAAAAUUGAAACAAAAAACUAAUUUUUGAAAACGAUGUAAAAUAAUUUUACUUUGAUUGAUUUAAAUGUAAAAAUUACACAAAGUAUUUAUAGUGUUUGAAAUAUUUUUUAUUACAUCAAGAAAUGUUUAUUAAUACAACUAAAUCCUUGAAAGCUUAUUUUAAUUUCCUUCCUAAACCUCGACGAUCGAUCCAUUAAAUCUUUAAUCUGUUAUAAAAACAUUGGUCGAUUAACAACAUAAUAAAUUACAUUAUCAGUUUACUUAAUAAUCUGUUUAAUUAGUAUUUAAGAGUUUGAUUUUAAAACAGUAUUUAACAAGUACUUAAUUAUAUCUAAUAAAUAACACAUCAAUAUCAAAUCGGAUGUCAAUUUUGAAAAAUAUUCGAAAUUACUAUUUCGAAAUUGUUUUUUGGUUUGGUAAAUUAUAUUAAAUUUUUGGGGUUCUUUUCUAAAAAAAUUAAAAAUUUGUGUACACGUAUUGAAGAUAUUACACGGAUGGAGGUGUCCCAUUUAAUUUAACCCAUAUAACAGUAGCAAAUCCAUACCUGUAGAAGAUGAACCGACACCUAGGGAGACGCCACCUCCAAUAGGAAUAAAGGUGGGUAUUUAUAAUAUAUGACCUACAUAUCCAAGAUCAGGGGUGACUUGGGUACGGACCAUAAACAAUUACAAGUCGUCGCAAUUAUCGAGAGAACAUGAUUAAUUCAGCAAAACAGCUGCAUCAACUUCAGUUCUAUGAAUGUUGAAAUUGAUAAAUUAAAAGUCAACUCUCCCAUCUGGGGAAUUCAUUGGACACUUCUAUCAGUAGCUUGUUGGAACAUAUGGAAGGAGCAUAAUACAAGAAAAGCUACUGACAUUCAUUUAAAUGAAGAUAUGAUUAUGAAGCAGAUCAUCCGUACUACAGAAUGAGAAUUCAAAGAACACCGUUACAAAAAAUCACAUAAAUACAAGAAUGAGACAAUGGUUUAUCAACACUAGAAUGUUUUUGCUAUGCAAAACAUGAAACCUAAAAGAAACGGAAGAAACCUCAGCUAAUCAAAGUGUGUUUUAAAUCCACUACAAUGUCUUAUAUUUGGCUUUAAACUUAUGCUUUUUAUUUUUGUAAAAUCUUUUUAAUUGAUUUUAAUAUAUGAUUAAGUACCUUAUCCAAAAAAAAAUGUGAGUAUUUAUUUUUUGUUUCAUCACAACAUAUACAUGUAGAUUUAAUAAACUAUGUCAUUUAAUCCAGGGGUAUUUAAUUCCCUUGGAUUAAAUGACCAACGAUCCAACGACAAGUCUAUAUAAACGUUUGUCGUUCACAUAAAACCCUAACCCACCUUGAGUAGUUCUGUCCUUACAUCUCCGACGCUUCCAAUCAUGGUUCGUCGCCGACACACCGGAGGGAUCAGUAUGCCCUGGGUUUCGAUGGUUGGAGGAAGUCGUCGUCCGCAGCCUCGACUUGACUGACUCCGACGACGAGUCGUCGUUGUAUGAACCCUAGCUCCUACCCCCGAUUCUGUUAUGGAGUUCGAGCCGAACUCGCUGUCCGAGUCUGCCAAUCGUCGAGGUCCUGCUCGUCGUCCGCCUCAACGUACGCCAAUGGAACCGAUAUACGUCCCCGACACUCCGAUCGUCCUUGCACAUGCGUGUCCCGACCAUCCGCUACUGCCGCCGCCAUCCGACGUCUUGGUGUACUGCAGUGCGGGUAUCUUUUCAUGGCGUACAUGUACACUGCUGUGUCUCACCUGUUCCCAGUUCCGGACGACAUACACCAACAACGCCAUCAACGAACCGGGCGAGGUGCUAAACUUCGACUUCAUCGACGACCUGGAGCUCGACUAGAAGGAGACUGACUCGACGGUGGGGGGGCGAAGGCGAUGUUUUUUUUCCAGAUUAAUAUGUUUGUUUAUGUCUUGUGUUUUUUUUUCCAACGAUGGUCGGAAAAAUGUAUUUUAGGUUUAUCAUUCUGGUAACCGUUUGCUUUGAAUGGAAUGAUAUUCUAUAUGUUUUUCAAUGGUAUUGUUAAGGUUUAAAAUUUCAUUUACAAAUGUUUUAGUUUAAAAAAAAAGUAAAAAAAAUAUAUUUUCAAUGCUUAAUAAAUACAAAUCUAAAAUUUUGAUUAGACAACUCCUAAAUUAGAAUUAAAUUUAAUUAAAAUAUAAACAUUAACGUACCCUUACCUUAUUAAAUACUAUUUACUUAUAUGUCUAAUUUUUUACCUAUUUGUUUAAUAAUUUCAUAGAAAUGAUAAUAAAUUAAAUAAAUUUUCAUUAUAUAAUACGAUAUUGAAGAGACCGAUACCCUUAAUGAUCUCUUUAAAAACCAUCUCAGGAGAUGUAAUAACGUGUUGUCUGUAUCUUUUAUUUUUUUUCUGUUUAUAUAUGUCAUGACAAACACAUAAUAACAUUCCAUAGUAACUUCCAAAUAAGAGAGUUAUAUGUGACUUUUUGCGCAGCCUUUGUAAGUUCUUUCAAUUUAAUAUGUAGAGUGAAAAUUGAAAUAUCCAUAAGAAGAAAUUCAGAUGUUCAACCAACAGAAUUAGAAGAGACCUGAAAUAAAAACAAUUGAAAAAAAAGAUAACUUUUAGAUUUAUCUUUCAGUUUGCAUAAGUAAGAUAGAUUCUUACACUUUUCAGCUUUUGAACAAAAAAUACAAAUAUAAAAAAUCUAAUUUUAAAAUAACGCAAUUAAAUUAAAUAAUUUAGUAUUAGAAAUAAAUACAAAUACUAACUAUCAUCUUUAUCUGAUUUUUAUAAUAUACCGUACACGUGUCACGUGGAGAAGGAUGGGAUGGAUAAAAAAUUGUACACGUGUCAAGAAAAUUAUUAAUUUCUUUAUUACAUAGUGAAAUUAUUUCGAUUAGUCAAAUUAACUAGAAGGGAAAUUAAUUUCUAACUCAUUUAAUUAAAAUCAAACACAGACACACAGUAACACACCAACACGCAACAUUCAAUAGAAUAGAACAAACAAUUCAAGCAAAAAAAAAAAGUUUAAUCAAUUGAUGGAUAUUAACUCCGAUGAUGAUGACUCCGGCGCCUCCUUGAUCGGCUCCAAGUCAGGUUUCCACAAUGAUCCCUGUCGAAGAAGCCCCAUCGGAGUCGGAUUUUCAUCCCUGAACCUACACUGAUUCAUUCCAAUACCAUUGCUAAUACCACUAGCAGUCCCUACGACACGCGUUUCGAUCUCGGUUUUACUGUCGUAGGCGACGGCGGAGAGCUUUCUGGCAAGAACCACCUGAUCCAGCAGCGUGACGUCGUCGUCGAACACGGAUUUGGGGAGAAGGAAGUAAAGUCUGUUACUUUGAAGAUGUUCUUGGAGAUGAAGCGGUUUGAAACCCACGGAGUAUUGCGGGGCCAAUAAGCAUAAGACCAUCUUCGGAGGUGUGCCGGUCAAAUCACUUACCUUCACCGGUAGCGAUUCAGGAGUGAUUCUGUUAUCUGCACAGACGAAUUCCUCGACGUAUCCCGUCACAUCGACGACUCGUGCUCCGUUAAUUGCCGGAGGUUCUUCCGACGACCGUGAAUAGCGACAACCCAUGAUUGAAAGUCGAGUUCUAGGAAAGUCGAUCUCUGAGAAAGUCGAUCUUCCCAGGAGUUAACUUGGGACCUUCCCAGGUGUCUCAGCUCAUUUUGGGCUAUCCGGACUUUUAUAUGCUGGUGCGUUGUGACCAAGUUCGGGAUACUGUAUCACCAAUGAAAAAAUCAAGAACCUACUCAGUCAACAAGAUCUCCUCAGCAAACAUUUGGCACAGGAGGCUAGACCAUCCAUCAUUACUUAGAUAUGAUUUAAUUAGAAAAAUAGACAAUUCAAUUUCUAAAUUAGAUGAUGUCUUUGUUGGAUCGUGAUCAGAGACUAUAAGGGACUUAACAGCCUCUUUCUGCGUAAUGCAGAUAGUUACGAAAGAUAUGUAAAAACACUCAAUAAUACAAUGGCAAUUUGAUAGUAAUAAUAUAAUAUUGAUCACAAAAUAAUAUUAUUACAUAGGUUAAGUGAAAAAUAUUAUAUUAUAAUAUUAUAUGUAUAUUGCUUUGUAAAAAAUAACAAGUCUCUUUAAGUACCUGAUAACAGGUUGAGGACUUAAAGUAAAUAACAUGAAAGUAAAUGACCUCUUUGAGCACCUGAUAACAUGUCGAGGACUUUGAAGUAAUAUUAAAAUAAAUAAAUAAAUAUAAUAGAUAGGUUAAAAUCGAAUGUGACAUAAAAUAAUAGUAAUCGAUUUUAUGUUAAAUGAUAGCUAGAAAUUUUAACUUAAAGCAAUGAACACAAUGAGAUUUAUACUGGUUCAAUCCAAACGGACCUACGUCCAGUCUCGUAAAAUUAUCUCACGAAAUUCACUAGUAUAAAAAUAUUGGCAAAACCUACCAGAACUUUUACAUGCUACAACACUCAAGAACCUCUUGUAAGCUUUCAAGGCUACAAUGCUUACGAACCUCACAAGUUUACCAAGUAAACUUGCAAAUUCCCAAGUCUUUCAAGGUAGACUUAGCACCUAAGAGUUUUAACAGGAAACUCUAUAAAACCAACUUAAAGCUUCUUGGUUCAGCUCAAUAACUUUCCUUACAUGACUUUGGUGAUCUUGAGACAACCCUCUCAACCAAAGUGAAACACACGAAAAAGAUGUAAGAUUUUAAAACAGCAACACUUCAACUUAGCUUGGAUCACUCAAUAGGAUUAGAAGAAGUGUAGAACUUUGGAACACCUUUGAGAGCAAGAGAACUUGAGCACAACUUUGGAAACGUUGGAAGCUAAAUAGCUAGCUUUUGAAAGUUGUGGAGAGGAGGAACUCAAAGUGUGGAUUGAAAAUUUGAAUAUGUCUGUUGGCCUUUUUACUUGGAAUGCACCUUUAUUUAUAGCAUUGGUCAAUUGAUUUCCACCUUUAGAUAUUCAAUCAAGGGUUCCAUGAUUUCCACCUCUAUUAAUAAGUAUGUGUUAAGACUUAAGAUAUUAUGUGCAAACAAUUUACUUAAGAUCCACAGAAUGAGUAUAAAAAAAGUUGAGGGUGUUGGGCGUAAUUAGGGGUGAGAACGGGGCGGGGUGGCCCUCGUUAUCCGCCCCAUUCCGAAAAAACGAGGCGGGUCGGAUACCCUACAUCCCAGCCCUGAGACCCGCCCCGGACCCGGUGACCGGGGCAUGAAACGGGGAAACCCGCCUGAAAUUAUAAAAAUUAUAAAAAUUAAAAAAAUUAAAAUUAUAUAUUAUAAAAAAUAAAAAUAAAAUUUAAAAUGGGUAAAUUUUUUAAGCUUAAUUUUUAAAAAUUUUAAUUUUAAUAAUCAUAUAUCUAAUAUAAUAUAAUUUAAAUUAAUAAAAAAAAAUUAAUUUUUUCAAAAACCGGGGCGACCCGUCCGGGUUUCACCUCUCCCCCGAGACCCACCCCGGAAUUUGACCGGGACAACGGAGUUGUGAGAAACGGGCCCCGUCCAUCGAGACGCAGACUGGGACGGAACCAGGACGACCUGCUUCAUUCUCACCCUUAGGCGUAAUAUUUUAAAUAAAUUUUAACGAAGCAAUUGGGCCAAUCCCAGAUGGGUCAGAAACAAUGGGCUGUAAAUUAAUUUGUAAAUAAUUUGUUAAAAGUCCAUUUGUUAUAUAAAACAAGUUGUAAUACAUAAUUAUUCAUUCAAUUGAAACUAAACUGUUUCUAAGACAACUAAUUUUGAAAAAACAGUUACUACUGUUGAGUGAGAGCCACCUCUUCCUUCACGUCUGCCCACUAUCGGUGCUCACCACUAUCGAGGUGAAGAGAUAAACUCUGGUGACCCAAGUUUAAUACCAUGGCCCAACCCACGAGUCAGGAGAUCCGACUUAUGAGAUAGCCCCAAGACUGCUGGGAGGAGGAAUAUUUUGAACCAUUACUAAAUUUUUGAUAUCUCACCUCACUAAAUUUAAAUUGAAUCUUAAUUAAUCACACCAAUACGGCAAUAAUCAAUAGAACAGGACAACACUACAAUAUAGAAGACUAAACACAAUCACCGAUGAUCUACAGAUCUUUUCACAGUUCAAGCAUUUAAUUUAUCUUUUCACAGUUCAAUGCCGUAGAUAUCUUGUUGAACAUAUUUUAUCUUAAUUUAUUUUAAAUUAAAUUAUCAUCUACACAAAAUAUUUCAUUUUUGAUAUCUCAAACUCAAUUUACAUUUAACACACCAACACGCAACAUUCAAUAAAAAAGAAUAGAACAAACAAUUCAAGCAAAAAAAAAAGUUUAAUCAAUUGAUGGAUAUUAACUCCGAUGAUGAUGACUCCGGCGCCUCCUCGAUCGGCUCCAAGUCAGGUUUCCACAAUGAUCCCUGUCGAAGAAGCCCCAUCGGAGUCGGAUUUUCAUCCCUGAACCUACACUGAUUCAUUCCAAUACCAUUGCUAAUACCACUAGCAGUCCCUACGACACGCGUUUCGAUCUCGGUUUUACUGUCGUAGGCGACGGCGGAGAGCUUUCUGGCAAGAACCACCUGAUCCAGCAGCGUGACGUCGUCGUCGAACACGGAUUUGGGGAGAAGGAAGUAAAGUCUGUUACUUUGAAGAUGUUCUUGGAGAUGAAGCGGUUUGAAACCCACGGAGUAUUGCGGGGCCAAUAAGCAUAAGACCAUCUUCGGAGGUGUGCCGGUCAAAUCACUUACCUUCACCGGUAGCGAUUCAGGAGUGAUUCUAUUAUCUGCACAGACGAAUUCCUCGACGUAUCCCGUCACAUCGACGACUCGUGCUCCGUUAAUUGCCGGAGGUUCUUCCGACGACCGUGAAUAGCCACAACCCAUGAUUGAAUGGAUAAAUAGCGGUGGAUUUCGAUUUAUACGGCUGAAAAUCCUUAAAAAAAAAUUAAAAGCAGAAAGUCCUAAAAUUCAAUAUAUAGUUUGACUAUAUUACUAAGAUGAAUCAAGAAUACCGUGAUUAAUUUUUUCUUGUCAAUUACAUAUAUAACCUUGACUGUUUUUAAUAUUAUUUUUUUUCUGUCUGUUAUAAUUUUGAACUAUUUUUACCAAAAUUGAUGUGAUAUAACAUAUAUGACCUUGAAACUUUCAAACGUAUUUAAAUCUGGACAUCCCGCCUAAACUGUC
rnacentral:lncRNA from 1 species